UACCAGCACCCCGAGUGGUCGGGACGUUUAUUGGGCCUAAAGCAUCCGUAGCCGGUUCUACCAGUCUUCCGUUAAAUCCACCUGCUUAACAGAUGGGCUGCGGAAGAUACUAUAGAGCUAGGAGGCGGGAGAGGCAAGCGGUACUCGAUGGGUAGGGGUAAAAUCCGUUGAUCCAUUGAAGACCACCAGUGGCGAAGGCGGCUUGCCAGAACGCGCUCGACGGUGAGGGAUGAAAGCUGGGGGAGCAAACCGG
rnacentral:rRNA from 1 species